CCUACGGGAGGCAGCAGUGGGGGAUAUUGCACAAUGGGGGAAACCCUGAUGCAGCGACGCCGCGUGGGUGAAGAAGCGCCUCGGCGCGUACAGCCCUGUCAGCCGGGAAGAAAAUGACGGUACCUGAAGAAGAAGCCCCGGCUAACUACGUGCCAGCAGCCGCGGUAAUACGUAGGGGGCAAGCGUUAUCCGGAUUUACUGGGUGUAAAGGGGGCGCAGACGGCGAUGCAAGCCAGGAGUGAAAGCCCGGGGCCCAACCCCGGGACUGCUCUUGGAACUGCGUGGCUAGAGUGCAGGAGGGGCAGGCGGAAUUCCUGGGGUAGCGGUGAAAUGCGUAGAUAUCAGGAGGAACACCGGUGGCGAAGGCGGCCUGCUGGACUGCAACUGACGUUGAGGCCCGAAAGCGUGGGGAGCAAACAGGAUUAGAUACCCUUGUAGUC
rnacentral:rRNA from 1 species